UACGAGCGGCCCAAACGUUAUUCGGAAUUACUGGGCUUAAAGAGUUCGUAGGCGGCGCAGAAAGUAGGGUGUGAAAGCCCUCGGCUUAACCGAGGAAUUGCGCUCUAAACUACUGUGCUUGAGGAACCUAGAGGUGAGCAGAACAGAUGGUGGAGCGGUGAAAUGCGUUGAUAUCAUCUGGAAUACCGGAGGCGAAGGCGGCUCACUGGGGGUUUUCUGACGCUGAGGAACGAAAGCCAGGGUAGCGAACGGG
rnacentral:rRNA from 1 species